GGAAGGUAUAGCAAUAGCUAAUUGUAUUAACAAAUAGUUUUUACAAUAUCGAUUUAAUCGACUAAAAUUCUAGGUAGAUUUAUGAUGAUGACAUUAUCUAUCUAUGUGUCUUGACCAAAUUACGUGCCAGCAGUCGCGGCAAGACGUAGAAGACUAGUGUUAUUCAUCUUUAAUAGGUUUAAAGCGUACCUAGACGGUAAUUAAAGCCUACAUCAGGAACUUGUUUACUAGAGUUAAAUGUAAGGGUGUAUUAAAGUACUGUUGAGUGUAGAGAUGAAAUUCGUUGAUACCAAAUAAUUGGCACAGGUAUAGGCGAAAGCAUCACUUUAUGUAAUAACUGACGUUGACGGACGAAGGCUUUGUGUCGCGAACAGGAUUAGAUACCCCAGUAGUCUUAGCAGAAAACUAUGAGUGUCAUAGGUUAGAUUUUAUCUGGUCUAUAAAUGAAAGUGUAAGCACUCCACCUCAAGAGUAAUUUGGCAACAUUGGAACUGAAAUCAUUAGACCGUUUCUGAAACCAGUAGUGAAGUAUGUUGUUUAAUUUGAUGAUCCGCAAAGAACCUUACCACAAUUUGAAUAUAAAUGAUUUAUUUUUACAAGUGUUGCACGGCUGUCUUCAGUUAAUGUCGUGAGAUAUUGGUUUAUUCCAUUAAAUUAACGUAAACCCGUACUUUAUUUUUAUAUAAAGUUUUUCAUUCGCUAUAAUGAAUGUGAUAACAGGGACUAAGACAAGUCAUCAUGGC
rnacentral:rRNA from 1 species